UACCUGCAGCUCAAGUGGUGAUCAUUAUUAUUGGGCCUAAAACGUCCGUAGCCGGUUUAGUAAAUGCCUGGGUAAAUCGUGUAGCUUAACUAUACGACUUCCGGGUAGACUGCUAAACUUGAGACCGGGAGAAGCUAGAGGUACUCCUGGGGUAGAGGUGAAAUUCUGUAAUCCUAGGGGGACCACCAGUGGCGAAGGCGUCUAGCUAGAACGGGUCUGACGGUGAGGGACGAAGCCCUGGGGCACAAACCGGAUUAGAUACCCGGGUAGUCCAGGGUGUAAACGCUGCUUGCUUGAUGUUAGUUGGGCUCCGAGCCCAGCUAGUGUCGGAGAGAAGUUGUUAAGCAAGCUGCCUGGGAAGUACGGUCGCAAGGCUGAAACUUAAAGGAAUUGGCGGGGGAGCACAGCAACGGGUGGAGCGUGCGGUUU
rnacentral:rRNA from 1 species